rnacentral:rRNA from 1 species
AGCGAACGCUGGCGGCAGGCCUAACACAUGCAAGUCGAGCGCCCAGCAAUGGGAGCGGCAGACGGGUGAGUAACGCGUGGGGAUGUGCCCAAUGGUGCGGAAUAACCCAGGGAAACUUGGAUUAAUACCGCAUGUGCCCUUCGGGGGAAAGAUUUAUCGCCAUUGGAUCAACCCGCGUCUGAUUAGCUAGUUGGUGAGGUAAAGGCUCACCAAGGCGACGAUCAGUAGCUGGUCUGAGAGGAUGAUCAGCCACACUGGGACUGAGACACGGCCCAGACUCCUACGGGAGGCAGCAGUGGGGAAUAUUGGACAAUGGGCGCAAGCCUGAUCCAGCCAUGCCGCGUGAGUGAUGAAGGCCUUAGGGUUGUAAAGCUCUUUCGCCGGUGAAGAUAAUGACGGUAACCGGAGAAGAAGCCCCGGCUAACUUCGUGCCAGCAGCCGCGGUAAUAC